UACGAAGGGGGCUAGCGUUGCUCGGAAUCACUGGGCGUAAAGGGUGCGUAGGCGGGUCUUUAAGUCAGGGGUGAAAUCCUGGAGCUCAACUCCAGAACUGCCUUUGAUACUGAAGAUCUUGAGUUCGGGAGAGGUGAGUGGAACUGCGAGUGUAGAGGUGAAAUUCGUAGAUAUUCGCAAGAACACCAGUGGCGAAGGCGGACUCGAC
rnacentral:rRNA from 1 species